rnacentral:rRNA from 1 species
CGCGUAGGCGGUUUGGUUAGUUAGACGUGAAAUUCCUGGGCUCAACCUGGGGACUGCGUUUAAUACAGCCUGACUUGAGUGUGGAAGAGGGUCGUGGAAUUCCCAGUGUAGAGGUGAAAUUCGUAGAUAUUGGGAAGAACACCGGUGGCGAAGGCGGCGACCUGGUCCAUUACUGACGCUGAGGCGCGAAAGCGUGGGGAGCAAACAGGAUUAGAUACCCUGGUAGUCCACGCCGUAAACGAUGUGCGCUGGAUGUUGGGUGACCUAGUCACUCAGUGUCGUAGCUAACGCGAUAAGCGCACCGCCUGGGGAGUACGGCCGCAAGGUUGAA